rnacentral:lncRNA from 1 species
CAUAACUUGCUUAAUCUUAUUAAUGAGACUGAGUUACAAAUAUAUAGUGUCGAGAUUAGGGUUUUACAACACAAGAGGAUAAGCUAAAGCAUGUGGAGUCAAAGAGGGUGGAGCGCUUCUUUUGAAUUGAUCCAAUGAGGUUCUUCACAUGUGUAAGGCAUCUAGUAUCUUGGAUAAGAUCCCUUUUGCCUUUCCAGCUGUGCCAGACUGUCACGCCCAGCUUCUUCCUUUCCCUUGACGGUCACAACUCAUCCUAAGCUUUGGGUAAAGCUUCUUCCCUUCAACCGAGUUACUCGGGUAAGUUUCUUUUACCUUUGGUCGAGUUUGGUCGAUACAAUGUGUACGGCCGGUACGGCCUGUACGGCCUGUACGGUCCAUCCGUACCAAACUCUCCCAAACUCCCCAUGCUCUCCAUUCCUCAACUCUACACUUCCUUAUCUCUUUAUCCCUUCAACCCCUCAUCUCUUCUUCUUAUACUCAGCUCAAUUCAACACUCCCCCUCAAUCUUAGCUUUGUGAAAGUCUAAGAUUGGACAGCCAUGAGAUCUUCCUCAUUAAAAACCUCACCAAG